GAUGAACGCUGGCGGCGUGCCUAAUACAUGCAAGUCGAGCGAACAGACGAGGAGCUUGCUCCUUUGACGUUAGCGGCGGACGGGUGAGUAACACGUGGAUAACCUACCUAUAAGACUGGGAUAACUUCGGGAAACCGGAGCUAAUACCGGAUAAUAUAUUGAACCGCAUGGUUCAAUAGUGAAAGACGGUUUUGCUGUCACUUAUAGAUGGAUCCGCGCCGCAUUAGCUAGUUGGUAAGGUAACGGCUUACCAAGGCAACGAUGCGUAGCCGACCUGAGAGGGUGAUCGGCCACACUGGAACUGAGACACGGUCCAGACUCCUACGGAAGGCAGCAGUAGGGAAUCUUCCGCAAUGGGCGAAAGCCUGACGGAGCAACGCCGCGUGAGUGAUGAAGGUCUUCGGAUCGUAAAACUCUGUUAUUAGGGAAGAACAAAUGUGUAAGUAACUAUGCACGUCUUGACGGUACCUAAUCAGAAAGCCACGGCUAACUACGUG
rnacentral:rRNA from 1 species